AACGCGAAGAACCUUACCUGGGUUUGACAUGGAUCGGGAGCGCUCAGAGAUGGGUGUGCCUCUUUUGGGGUCGGUUCACAGGUGGUGCAUGGCUGUCGUCAGCUCGUGUCGUGAGAUGUUGGGUUAAGUCCCGCAACGAGCGCAACCCUUGUUCACUGUUGCCAGCACGUUAUGGUGGGGACUCAGUGGAGACCGCCGGGGUCAACUCGGAGGAAGGUGGGGAUGACGUCAAGUCAUCAUGCCCCUUAUGUCCAGGGCUUCACGCAUGCUACAAUGGCUGGUACAGAGAGUGGCGAGCCUGUGAGGGUGAGCGAAUCUCGGAAAGCCGGUCUCAGUUCGGAUUGGGGUCUGCAACUCGACCUCAUGAAGUCGGAGUCGCUAGUAAUCGCAGAUCAGCACG
rnacentral:rRNA from 1 species